AAUCUGGCACCUUCGGUGUCCGAGUUGUAAUCUCUAGAAAUGUUUUCCGCGUUGGACCGCACACAAGUCUGUUGGAAUACAGCGGCAUAGUGGUGAGACCCCCGUAUAUGGUGCGGACGCCCAGCGCUUUGUGAUACAUUUUCGAAGAGUCGAGUUGUUUGGGAAUGCAGCUCAAAUUGGGUGGUAAAUUCCAUCUAAAGCUAAAUAUUGGCGAGAGACCGAUAGCGAACAAGUACCGUGAGGGAAAGAUGAAAAGCACUUUGGAAAGAGAGUUAACAGUACGUGAAAUUGUUGGAAGGGAAACGCUUGAAGUCAGACUUGCUUGCCGAGCAAUCGGUUUGCAGGCCAGCAUCAGUUUUCCGGGAUGGAUAAUGGUAGAGAGAAGGUAGCAGUUUCGGCUGUGUUAUAGCUCUCUGCUGGAUACAUCUUGGGGGACUGAGGAACGCAGUGUGCCUUUGGCGGGGGUUUCGACCUCUUCACACUUAGGAUGCUGGUGGAAUGGCUUUAAACGACCCGUCUGACCCCGG
rnacentral:rRNA from 1 species